GAGUCUUGUUCAAAUACACCCCACUCUAUGCAACAUGGCGCCGCGCCCGAACAUUCUAUACGAACCAAUGGGUACCUUCCUGAUCCCACCGUUGGUAUUAACCAACCAAUCGGACUCUCUCGACUCUUCUACCGGUGGCGUGGCCGUAUCACGGAGUUUCGAGAUGCGAUGAAUCGUGGCCGCGACAGGACUUCUCUCUCUCUCUCUCUCUCUCUCCCUCUCUCUCUCUCUCUUUCUCUCUUUCUCUCUGUUUCUCUCUCUUUCUCUCUGUUUAUCUUCUCCUUUCUCUUUCUCUUUCCAGCGCAAGCGCCGUAUCUUCGAACUUCUUCGAAGUCGCACGAAGGCCGCUUGCGCAAUCUCUCUCCUCUCUCUUGGCCGAUAAGCGCCGCCGUCGACGGGUCCGGCGUCGGGUCGAGCGUCGGGACGGCUGCGGCCACGACGCCGGCCACGUUCUCGCGUUCGUUUCUGCUUUCAUCUCUCUCUUCCUCUUUCUUUCUUUCUCUUUCUCUCUCUCUCUCUCUCUCUCUCUCUCUCUCUCUCUCUCUCUUUCUCUCUCACUCUCUCUCUCUCUUUCUCUCUCUCUCUCACACACACAUACAUAUACACAUACACGUUCUUUCUUUCGUUCUUUCUUUCUCUUCCUCUUUCUCCCUGCCUCAUCCCUCUUUCCUCUCUUCUUCUUCUCUUUUCUCUCUUUCUUAUCGUCCUCGCGUCGACCGAUCCGCCACGCGUUUUUACACCUAUCGCUCGUCCCCGACCUUUCUUUCUAAUCGUCGUUUCCUAUUUCUUUCCUUUUCAGCAACAAUUUUUUUAACUCCCCUUAUUCGUCAACUUUUUAGUACGAACACACGAUGUUCAACUUCUUCUUCUUCUUCUUCUUCUUCUUCUUCUUCUACUUCUUCUUCAUCAUCCUCUUUCACCCCUCAUCGUAAUUUUGUUCUCUUGUCGUUACAAAUCCUUUCGAUGUUUCUUUUAUUUGUUUGUUCGUUUGUUUGUUUGUUUGUUUGUUUGUUUGUUUGUUCGUUUUCUAAUGUGUAUCUCUUCCGUGCUGUGACUUUUUUCCUCAUUUCCUUUUGGUGGUGCGAACAAGGACAAUUUUUAAUUGGUGAGGACUAUUAUGGAAGCAUCUCUUCGUAACGAUCUUACAUUCCUUCUUCUCCAAUGGAACGAGUAACGUGCUCUUGCGAUGACUCGUAAAGUUCACCGACGAGUUUCAAUUAUCCGAGAACCUGAGUUACUCCCACGAGUUAGCUUCUCCAUGGGAUAUCGAUCGUGGCAUUCGUUAAAUGCACAUAGGAGAGAAGAUCUAUCUACAACAGAUGACGAUGAAAGUGAAAAAGGGACGAUAAGGGACUAUAAUCCAAAUCCAUGAAAAUCCUUGAUUAUCACUACGACGAAAACGGAUCUUCGUGGGAGGUUGAGCAGCACGCAAAAACAGAGAUCCAUACGCAAGAAUAACACCUUCCGUGUCUGGCUAAUCACAACACUUAGAACGCCCUAUACGUAUACGAGAUACGACAUUGGAAAAACAUUCGAUCAUCUCGAACGAAACGACCAAGGAAAUGAGUAAGAACUACCACGAUUAACGGCAUAAGGAGAAACGAACGUAAACGUUCUGCUAAUCAAAACAAUGG